GACGAACGCUGGCGGCGUGCCUAAUACAUGCGAGUAGAACGCUGAAGGAGGAGCUUGCUUCUCUGGAUGAGUUGCGAACGGGUGAGUAACGCGUAGGUAACCUGCCUGGUAGCGGGGGAUAACUAUUGGAAACGAUAGCUAAUACCGCAUAAUAGCAGUUGUUGCAUGACAACUGUUUGAAAGGUGCAAUUGCACCACUACCAGAUGGACCUGCGUUGUAUUAGCUAGUUGGUGGGGUAACGGCUCACCAAGGCGACGAUACAUAGCCGACCUGAGAGGGUGAUCGGCCACACUGGGACUGAGACACGGCCCAGACUCCUACGGGAGGCAGCAGUAGGGAAUCUUCGGCAAUGGACGGAAGUCUGACCGAGCAACGCCGCGUGAGUGAAGAAGGUUUUCGGAUCGUAAAGCUCUGUUGUAAGAGAAGAACGAGUGUGAGAGUGGAAAGUUCACACUGUGACGGUAUCUUACCAGAAAGGGACGGCUAACUACGUG
rnacentral:rRNA from 1 species